UUAAUUGAAGCCAAAAUAGAGGCUUAUCAUUGUUAAUGAUAUCAAUGAAAAAUUUUUCCAAUUAAA
rnacentral:tRNA from 1 species